rnacentral:lncRNA from 1 species
AAAAAAAAAGACUCCCAAAACUGUGAAGAUGACCAAGCCAUCCAAAAUCCCCAAGCCCCCAAAACCCCCUAAGCCCCCAGGGCUCCACAAAACGCUGAAUCUCAAAGAUGGAGGCAAGAAGAAAGGGAAGAAGUCCUGAGAGUCAGCCUUGCCUAAUAUCCCCAACCUGGACCUGCUCAAAGCCCACACCAAGGAGGCACUGACCAAGAUGGAGCCACCCAAGAAGGGCAAGGCCACAAAGACCAUCCUGAGUGUGCCCAACAAGGACGUGGUCCACAUAGAGAAUGAUGUGGAGAGGCUGGAAAUUCGAGAGCAAACCAAGAGCAAGUCGGAG